rnacentral:rRNA from 1 species
CCAGCAGGCGCGCGAAUUACCCACUCCCGAACUGGGGAGGUAGUGACGAGAAUUAUCGGUCUUACUCUUUGAGCAAAAGACCGGAAUGGACGAAAUUCAGGUCCAUUCGUGAAAACUAGCGAGGGGCAAGUCUGGUGCCAGCAGCCGCGGUAAUUCCAGCCUCGCAUGUAAAUGUAAAAUUUGUUGCAUUUAAAAAGCUCGUAGUCGGACAGUUUCACGACAUUUUGUUCAAAGCCAGCUGCAACUCGGCUAGCCAGUUACGAAGGGUUUUGAACUGGUCAAUUAGUCGUUGCAACUGGAUGAAUAGUCGUGAACAAUCACAAGUUUCGCUUAUACACUUAAUUGUGUGUAGGACUGAAAAUUUGUGGACGUACCUUGAACAAAUCGGUUUGUUCAAAACAGGCCAUAUUGAGCGCCUGGACAUUCGAGCAUGGAAUGAUCGAUCGAGACCUGAUCGUUUGGUCGGAAACGAGUAAGGUCCAGGUCAAAAGGGACAUUUGGGGGCAUACGAACUCGGCAGCGAGAGGUGAAAUUCUAAGACCUGCCGAG